rnacentral:rRNA from 1 species
GUGAACGCUGGCGGUAGGCCUAACACAUGCCAGUCGAACGGCAGCACCGUAAGAGCUUGCUCUUACGGGUGGCGAGUGGCGGACGGGUGAGGAAUACAUCGGAAUCUACUUUUUCGUGGGGGAUAACGUAGGGAAACUUACGCUAAUACCGCAUACGACCUACGGGUGAAAGCAGGGGAUCUUCGGACCUUGCGCGAUUGAAUGAGCCGAUGUCGGAUUAGCUAGUUGGCGGGGUAAAGGCCCACCAAGGCGACGAUCCGUAGCUGGUCUGAGAGGAUGAUCAGCCACACUGGAACUGAGACACGGUCCAGACUCCUACGGGAGGCAGCAGUGGGGAAUAUUGGACAAUGGGCGCAAGCCUGAUCCAGACAUACCGCGUGGGUGAAGAAGGCCUUCGGGUUGUAAAGCCCUUUUGUUGGGAAAGAAAAGCAGCAGGUUAAUACCCCGCUGUUCUGACGGUACCCAAAGAAUAAGCACCGGCUAACUUCGUG